rnacentral:rRNA from 1 species
GACAGGAGGGGGCAGCGUUGCUCGGAAUUACUGGGCGUAAAGGGCGCGUAGGCGGCCCGCUAAGUCGAACGUGAAAUCCCCAGGCUCAACCUGGGACUGCGUCCGAUACUGGAUGGCUUGAAUCCGGGAGAGGGAUGCAGAAUUCCAGGUGUAGCGGUGAAAUGCGUAGAUAUCGGAAGGAACAUCAGUGGCGAAAGCGACUUCCUGGACCAAUACUGACGCUCAUGUGCGAAAGCGUGGGGAGCAAACAGG